CUCCUUAUUGAGGCAUAACAUACAUCAGACAGAACUAGAUGCAUAUAACAUCUUCAUACAGCAGUACAAAUUGUGAGAUAUCAGAGUAGAACUAGAAUUAUCAACAAAAUUUCAUGAGGUAAUCAAAAAUCUCUAACAAGUUAUAUCCCUACUUCAAUGUUGUGUAUCGGCUUCAUACAUCUUUCACUCAUAUAGUAGGCAGUAGGCACAACUAAAAUCAAUCAAUGGCAAUAAUGAGAAAUCCAACAGAUACAUACAUGAGUACUACAGGAUACAGGGCAAGAGCUUUCCUUCUAGGGUUAACAGCUGUACUCAUGAAGGGGUAUGCCGCCCAAGAGCUCCAAGCUAGUGCAACACAUACUACAACUACCUUCAAUAUCACGUUGUCCUUUAGCAUGCAAAUGAAAGCACCAACAUCAAGCGGGAAUAGACAGUAACCCAGCAGACUGAGACUUUGGAAGAAGAUUAUAUGACCGCCCAGUAACAAUACAUUCAGUGUCAGAAUGACAGCACCGGCAGCCAGCAGAGCAAAUGCAACAGCAAAAACCUCAGACUUCUUAACAGAAGCAGACCAUGACAAAGUGAGACCAAGGAAAACAAUGAAGAAGAAAGGUCCCCAUAGAUCCCAAUCACGAAGAGCUUUGCCAGGAUCUUCUCUAUAAGGAUUAGGGAAAACCACCAGCUUCAAAUUACUAACAAUUCUGGACAGAUCUCUUUUGACGGUAUCCCAAACGGGUUCGGUAAGGGUAUUGGGAGGCGAUCCGAAUCCGGUAGCAGCUAUAUUUGACUGUCCAGAUGAAGGUAGGGGUGGUGGAGAUGGAAUGGCAGGAACAGGUGUCGGUUUGUAAUUGUUGGUUGUGGUAGAUGUAGGGGGAGGUGGUGGGCGUAGAUUGGAAGGCAUGAAAGGAGAAGAUGAAACAGGAAUGGCAGCACGAGGAGGAGAAGGAGGGCGUGCUGGAAGGACAGUAGAAGGAUUGGAAUAGAUGAGGUUUUCAAUUUCAUCAAUGUCAGAUUGAGAUGAGGAGUGAAGAGGUAUAGUGUCUCCAUGUGACAUUUUUUCCGGUAGCUCUCAGAUUUGCAGAGAUGAUCGGAGAUGGAGGACAAGGCGGAAUUGAGUGAGUGGAUGGGUGGUGUAACUGGUGUUGCCCUGUUGAGUUGUAAAUGCAGGGAA
rnacentral:misc_RNA from 1 species